GGUUCAUCUGGCUUUGGGAUGGUGUAGUAGUGCCAUCUAGUGAUGGUAGUCAGAGUUAGUUCGGUUAUCAGUGAUGGCGUUAUAGUGAAGGUCAAGACAGUGACGAACCUCAAGGUCGCUCAAGGUCAGUUGAACUUCAGUGGUCGUACAGGAGAGAUUCCUAGUUCUUCCUCCUGCCGUUCCGCCGGCCUUACCGUUUCCUCAGCCUCUUAAUACACCUAAAUAACGUGUGGUAAUUGCUGCGUCUGACUGCUGCAACAGUGAUCAACACAGCAACAUUGACUAGUCUGAGGAAUGGAGACAACCGCACUAGUACAUGGUCUGACCCAUAACAGUGUUAUACCUGGAUAUACCUGGAGAGGGUUACUCCAGGUAUGUGGAGAUGCAGCAGCUGGAGACGUUGUCAGAGGUGGGCGGGCCCACUUGUAAGCUGUUGUGUGGUGAGCUGCAAUGCAAGUCUACAGAGAUGUCAUAACCAGCAGGAACACGCCAAAAUAACGUCUGUAAAGAUAAAAGUAUGGGCAUCAUUCAUGAACUGCCGUAGUGUGGUGCUUCUUUCAGUGAGAGCAUUUCCAAGAUGCUUGGAAGAGAAGUCUACUGUUGGCUACAAUUUUUUAAUUUUCCUAUGAACAAUAAAUAGUACAUGGUCUA